UUGUUAUUUUUAGUUAAUUUCUUUUCAUUUUUGUGUUGUUGUGAGUUUAUGGUGUCUUGUUAAUUUUUAAGAGCUGAAAGUAGGAAAAUAAUGAAUUUAUGCAUGAAAUAUCCAAGGAAAAAAAUGAAAAGAAAAUUGGUUUAGAGCAUUUUAUAUAAGAGAAAUGAGUGGGCCAAAAAUAGAGACAAAUGAUGUGGGCCUUCUAAUUUGGGAAAUGAAUGGUACCCUAGCAUCAUUAAAAUAAAGGCAGCCACCAUUUUAGAGGUAGAAUCUUAGUCUUAGAGCUGCCAUUGUAGAGAGAAUAACGCAAACACAAAAAUGAAGAAAAAGAAGAAGAAAUUUCAAGCUUGAGGAGAAGAAUCCAAGGAUGAGGAGGAAGACAAGAUCAUUGAUUCAUCAUAUUUGGCUUGUUUUCUCCUCUUUAAUCUCAUUUAGUUUGUAAAGGCAAAGACAAGUUAGACCAGUCCUGAGAUGGAGAGCUGCGGGGCUGAAUGUACAUAGCCAGUUGUUCGGUCGCUUUGGCCGAGGAGUGGAUCAGGACAGGGAUCGUUGAACUGUCUAUUUUGCCUUAGUAUGGCUAAUAUCGUAUUUAGAUCGUGAAUUUUUUGUAAAUGGCUUUAAACCUAUUAUUUUGGGAUCCCGUGUAAACAGGAAAUGUUAUAUAUAAGAAAUGUGACUUUUAAGACCAAAAUA